rnacentral:rRNA from 1 species
UCGGGAAUUUUGGGCAAUGGGCGAAAGCCUGACCCAGCAACGCCGCGUGAGUGACGAAGGCCUUAGGGUUGUAAAGCUCUUUCGGCGGGGAAGAUAAUGACGGUACCCGCAGAAGAAGCCCCGGCUAACUCUGUGCCAGCAGCCGCGGUAAUACAGAGGGGGCAAGCGUUGUUCGGAAUCACUGGGCGUAAAGUGCACGUAGGUGGAUAGUUAAGUUCGGGGUGAAAUCCCAGGGCUCAACCCUGGAACUGCCUCGGAUACUGGCUAUCUCGAGUCCGGAAGAGGUGAGUGGAAUUCCUAGUGUAGAGGUGAAAUUCGUAGAUAUUAGGAAGAACACCGGUGGCGAAGGCGGCUCACCGGUCCGGUACUGACACUGAGGUGCGAAAGCGUGGGGAGCAAACAGGAUUAGAUACCCCCGUAGUCCCUGAGCGGGCUGGCAAGGCGCAU